GCAGCCGCCGCGGGAAUACAGAGGGUGCGAGCGUUAAUCGGAUUUACUGGGCGUAAAGCGUGCGUAGGCGGCUUUUUAAGUCGGAUGUGAAAUCCCUGAGCUUAACUUAGGAAUUGCAUUCGAUACUGGGAAGCUAGAGUAUGGGAGAGGAUGGUAGAAUUCCAGGUGUAGCGGUGAAAUGCGUAGAGAUCUGGAGGAAUACCGAUGGCGAAGGCAGCCAUCUGGCCUAAUACUGACGCUGAGGUACGAAAGCAUGGGGAGCAAACAGGAUUAGAUACCCCGGUAGUCCCUGUCUCUUAUAC
rnacentral:rRNA from 1 species